ACGACCUGUGCGGGAGAGUCCGGUGAUCGCAGCCGGACACCGAAGGAGCAAGCCUCCCCGCCAAUCUCUCAGGUACCCCUACCGUGCUGGUCCG
rnacentral:ncRNA from 2 species